AUUGAACGCUGGCGGCAGGCCUAACACAUGCAAGUCGAACGGUAACAGGAAGAAGCUUGCUUCUUUGCUGACGAGUGGCGGACGGGUGAGUAAUGUCUGGGAAACUGCCUGAUGGAGGGGGAUAACUACUGGAAACGGUAGCUAAUACCGCAUAACGUCGCAAGACCAAGGAGGGGGACCUUCGGGCCUCUUGCCAUCGGAUGUGCCCAGAUGGGAUUAGCUAGUAGGUGGGGUAACGGCUCACCUAGGCGACGAUCCCUAGCUGGUCUGAGAGGAUGACCAGCCACACUGGAACUGAGACACGGUCCAGACUCCUACGGGAGGCAGCAGUGGGGAAUAUUGCACAAUGGGCGCAGGCCUGAUGCAGCCAUGCCGCGUGUAUGAAGAAGGCCUUCGGGUUGUAAAGUACUUUCAGCGGGGAGGAAGGGAGUAAAGUUAAUACCUUGGCUCAUUGACGUUACCCGCAGAAGAAGCACCGGCUAACUCCGUG
rnacentral:rRNA from 1 species